rnacentral:rRNA from 1 species
UGGGGAAUUUUGGACAAUGGGCGAAAGCCUGAUCCAGCAAUGCCGCGUGUGAAGAAGGCCUUCGGGUUGUAAAGCACUUUUGUCCGGAAAGAAAUCCUUGGCUCUAAUACAGUCGGGGGAUGACGGUACCGGAAGAAUAAGCACCGGCUAACUACGUGCCAGCAGCCGCGGUAAUACGUAGGGUGCAAGCGUUAAUCGGAAUUACUGGGCGUAAAGCGUGCGCAGGCGGUUUGCUAAGACCGAUGUGAAAUCCCCGGGCUCAACCUGGGAACUGCAUUGGUGACUGGCAGGCUAGAGUAUGGCAGAGGGGGGUAGAAUUCCACGUGUAGCAGUGAAAUGCGUAGAGAUGUGGAGGAAUACCGAUGGCGAAGGCAGCCCCCUGGGCCAAUACUGACGCUCAUGCACGAAAGCGUGGGGGAGCAAACAGGAUUCAGAUACCCUGGUAGUCCACGCCCUAAACGAUGUCAACUAGUUGUUGGGGAUUCAUUUCCUUAGUAACGUAGCUAACGCGUGAAGUUGACCGCCUGGGGGAGUACGGUCGCAAGAUUAAAACUUAAAGGAAUUGACGGGGUCAUAGCUGUUUCCU